GACGAACGCUGGCGGCGUGCCUAAUACAUGCAAGUCGAACGCAGUGGGGACGGGUGCGUAACACGUGGGUAACCUCCCAUCAGAGGGGAUAACACUUGGAAACAGGUGCUAACCCGAUAUUGCUGGAUGGACCCGCGGUGCAUUAGCUAGUGGGUGAGGUAACGGCUCACCAAGGCCACGAUGAAUAGCCGACCUGAGAGGGUGAUCAGCCACACGGGAACUGAGACACGGCCCAGACUCCUACGGGAGGCAGCAGUAGGGAAUCUUCGGCAAUGGGCGAAAGUCUGACCGAGCAACGCCGCGUGAUUGAAGAAGGUUUUCGGAUCGUAAAGCACUUUUGUUAGAGAAGCGGUAUCUACCCAGAAAGCCACGGCUAACUACGUGCCAGCAGCCGCGGUAAUUC
rnacentral:rRNA from 1 species